rnacentral:rRNA from 1 species
CUUACACAUGCAAGUCACUUGAAUUUGGGUUUUUAACUUAGGUUUGGGUGGCGGACGGGUGAGUAACGCGUAAAGAACUUGCCUCACAGCUAGGGACAACAUUUGGAAACGAAUGCUAAUACCUAAUAUUAUGAUAAUAGGGCAUCCUAUAAUUAUGAAAGCUAUAAGCGCUGUGAGAGAGCUUUGCGUCCCAUUAGCUAGUUGGAGAGGUAACGGCUCACCAAGGCGAUGAUGGGUAGCCGGCCUGAGAGGGUGAUCGGCCACAAGGGGACUGAGACACGGCCCUUACUCCUACGGGAAGCAGCAGUGGGGAAUAUUGGACAAUGGACCAAGAGUCUGAUCCAGCAAUUCUGUGUGCACGAUGAAGUUUUUCGGAAUGUAAAGUGCUUUCAGUUGGGAAGAAAGAAAUGACGGUACCAACAGAAGAAGUGACGGCUAAAUACGUGCCAGCAGCCGCGGUAAUACGUAUGUCACGAGCGUUAUCCGGAUUUAUUGGGCGUAAAGCGCGUCUAGGUGGUUAUGUAAGUCUGAUGUGAAAAUGCAGGGCUCAACUCUGUAUUGCGUUGGAAACUGUAUAACUAGAGUACUGGAGAGGUAAGCGGAACUACAAGUGUAGAGGUGAAAUUCAUAGAUAUUUGUAGGAAUGCCGAUGGGGAAGCCAGCUUACUGGACAGAUACUGACGCUGAAGCGCGAAAGCGUGGGUAGCAAACAGGAUUAGAUACCCUGGUAGUCCACGCCGUAAACGAUGAUUACUAGGUGUUGGGGGUCGAACCUCAGCGCCCAAGCAAACGCGAUAAGUAAUCCGCCUGGGGAGUACGUACGCAAGUAUGAAACUCAAAGGAAUUGACGGGGACCCGCACAAGCGGUGGAGCAUGUGGUUUAAUUCGACGCAACGCGAGGAACCUUACCAGCAUUUGACAUCUUAGGAAUGAGAC